CGUCCCUGUGACUGUGCACUACGUUCUCCAACAGUCCAAAGGCGCGUCAUCGCACAUCACCUUGUGUCCGCACCGGAGUCGGCACUUUUGGAAAUGACAUUACUUUCUGGACUUCAAAUUACUUUUUGAAAAGGAAAUAUUGUACUUCCGUUACCAUGGCGCAAAUACAAGAAAGGCAAGUGGAGGUCGCGGAGAGGAGAUAUCAGGGAGUUGGUCGCUGUAAAUGUGCCUUUUGGUUUGCGGUGAGCCACGACGUAGUUGGAGUGUUUAUAUUGCUGACCGGGGUGUUUGCAGACAUAUUCUGCCAUGACUUGUUCAUCUAUGCAGGGGCUGUCAUCAUCUUCCUCAGUCUCAUCUGGUGGGUGUUCUGGUUCUCGGGGAACAUCGAGGUGCCACCUGAGGAACUGGAGGAUGAUGUUGGCUUGGUCAAACUAAAGAACAAAGGGAUCAGCGGUGUUGUCAGGAAGGUUUCCAACCGUCUCACUAACGGAAUUAGGAACUCAUUCCGAAGGAACGGGAGAGUCAAGGGAGAGGGGCCCCGAACAACGGAUGGAAAUGUUACCUCUAACCAGCAGCAAGCCCCUGUCACUCUUUCCAUUAUUUAUCAGAACACAACAGAAUCUUCAUCUACUGAACUUACCAGACAGACACUGACAAUAUGACUUUACAGGUUCAGAGCAUUUUCUCUGGAUUCAAGAGCAGUCUGCAGGAACCUGAAGAUGUAUUGCACACUGUGACUGUACCAACAAAGUAGCUGAUUAGAGUAAUGAGAUUGAUUGCACUCUGACGCUAUAUAAUUGUUCAUAACAUGGCAUUUGAUAAUGUCAUUGUAAAUAUAACACAUUUUUUUGUACAAUAA